rnacentral:rRNA from 1 species
GACGAACGCUGGCGGCGUGCCUAAUACAUGCAAGUAGAACGCUGAAGAGAGGAGCUUGCUCUUCUUGGAUGAGUUGCGAACGGGUGAGUAACGCGUAGGUAACCUGCCUUGUAGCGGGGGAUAACUAUUGGAAACGAUAGCUAAUACCGCAUAACAAUGGAUGACACAUGUCAUUUAUUUGAAAGGGGCAAUUGCUCCACUACAAGAUGGACCUGCGUUGUAUUAGCUAGUAGGUGAGGUAAUGGCUCACCUAGGCGACGAUACAUAGCCGACCUGAGAGGGUGAUCGGCCACACUGGGACUGCGACACGGCCCAGACUCCUACGGGAGGCAGCAGUAGGGAAUCUUCGGCAAUGGGGGCAACCCUGACCGAGCAACGCCGCGUGAGUGAAGAAGGUUUUCGGAUCGUAAAGCUCUGUUGUAAGUCAAGAACGGGUGUGAGAGUGGAAAGUUCACACUGUGACGGUAGCUCACCAGAAAGGGACGGCUAACUACGUG